ACGGAAGGCAGCAGUGAGGAAUAUUGGUCAAUGGGCGGAAGCCUGAACCAGCCAAGUCGCGUGAAGGAUGAAGGUAUUAUGUAUUGUAAACUUCUUUAGCAGCAGAGUAAUAAGGUCCUCGUGAGGACCGAUGCAAGUAUGCUGAAAAUAAGGAUCGGCUAACUCCGUGCCAGCAGCCGCGGUAAUACGGAGGAUCCGAGCGUUAUCCGGAUUUAUUGGGUUUAAAGGGUGCGCAGGCGGCACGUUAAGUCAGCGGUGAAAUGUCGGGGCUCAACCCGGGCACUGCCGUUGAAACUGGCGAGCUUGAGUACGGAUGAAGUUGGCGGAAUGUGAUGUGUAGCGGUGAAAUGCUUAGAUAUGUCAUAGAACACCGAUUGCGAAGGCAGCUGACUAAUCCGCAACUGACGCUCAGGCACGAAAGCGUGGGGAUCGAACAGGAUUAGAUACCCUGGUA
rnacentral:rRNA from 1 species